rnacentral:rRNA from 1 species
GUCAAGUUACAAAGGGCUCACGGUGGAUACCUA